UACGGAAGGCAGCAGUGGGGAAUAUUGCACAAUGGGCGCAAGCCUGAUGCAGCCAUGCCGCGUGUAUGAAGAAGGCCUUCGGGUUGUAAAGUACUUUCAGCGGGGAGGAAGGCGGUGGAGUUAAUAGCUUCACCGAUUGACGUUACCCGCAGAAGAAGCACCGGCUAACUCCGUGCCAGCAGCCGCGGUAAUACGGAGGGUGCAAGCGUUAAUCGGAAUUACUGGGCGUAAAGCGCACGCAGGCGGUCUGUCAAGUCGGAUGUGAAAUCCCCGGGCUUAACCUGGGGACUGCAUUCGAAACUGGCAGGCUAGAGUCUUGUAGAGGGGGUAGAAUUCCAGGUGUAGCGGUGAAAUGCGUAGAGAUCUGGAGGAAUACUGGUGGCGAAGGCGGGCCCCUGGGACAAAGACUGACGCUCAGGUGCGAAAGCGUGGGGAGCAAACAGGAUUAGAUAACC
rnacentral:rRNA from 1 species